GGCUGGUUACCUCAGAUGGUCAUAGAGCGUGGUGCCAUUAACGCCAAGGUCAUGGGUUCAAGCCCUAUACUGGCCA